rnacentral:rRNA from 1 species
UACGUAGGGUGCAAGCGUUUGUCCGGAAUUAUUGGGCGUAAAGAGCUCGUAGGCGGUCUGUUGCGUCGGCUGUGAAAACCCGGGGCUCAACCCCGGGCCUGCAGCCGAUACGGGCAGACUAGAGUUCGGCAGGGGGAGACUGGAAUUCCUGGUGUAGCGGUGAAAUGCGCAGAUAUCAGGAGGAACACCGGUGGCGAAGGCGGGUCUCUGGGCCGAUACUGACGCUGAGGAGCGAAAGCGUGGGGAGCGAACAGG